CGCGUCCUUGCGAAGAGACCACCAAACAGGCUUUGUGUUCCUUAUCACAGGAAGAAAAUUUUCCUUGACCUUUAGGUGCUUUUAUAUUCAUCUCAAAAGCAAAAUUCUGAACUCAGGACUUGGCAAGUGUCUCUAUGCUGUCUCCUAGAGUGGGUAGUCCUGCUUCUUUUACCCAGUUACCUUCCCUAUUCUUGAAAUGUGGCUAUCACUUCUCUACACGUUACCUCCAUGAUUUGGAAUGGAAAGGCCACUUUCCUUUUUGUUCUGCCUCUCAAAUUCAACACAGAGGAGCUCCUAGGAUUCCAGUUAUCCUCCUAACAUCUCCAGGAAGAAAGAAGCAACUUGCAUGGGUCUUCUGUUGUUUACUUAAUUAUAAAGACAUCAUUUUGCAAGCUGAAGGCUGAGUUUCAUUUGAAACAGGUGCUUAGGUGGUGGUAUUUGUGAAUACUUUUCAUUCCAAGCAAGAAGACUAAAGAAGUAGCAAGUAUGGAUGACUUCAGGGUUUAAAAAAAAUGUCUUCCAGUUUCAGCCACUACCACGAUAAGCACAGUUGAGACUGCAGCAGUAAAUUCCAAAUAUAUGUUUCUAAUUUGACGUGAAAGAUACUAAACAUUUAUAUUUGUAUAUUUAAAUCCUGGCUCAUCCUGUGACACAGAUUUACUGAAUAGGAACAAAGGCCCAAUUUUAAACAAAAACCUAGGCCGGGUGCGGUGGCUCACGCCUGUAGUCCCAACACUUUGGGAGGCUGAGGGAGGUGAGUCACCUGAGGUUGGGAGUUUGAGACCAGCCUGACCGACAUGGAGAAACCCCAUCUCUACUAAAAAUAGAAAAUUAGCCGGGCGUGGUGGUGCAUGCCUGUGGCCCCGGCUGCUCGGGAGGCUGAGGCAGGAGAGUUUCUUGAACCCGGGGGGCGGAGGUUGCAGUGAACUGAGAUUGCACCACUGCACUCCAGGCUGGGUGACAGAGUGAGACUCCGUCUCAGAAAAAAAAAAAAAAAAAAAAAAAAACUUUGGACAUAGAGGAGUCAGGGGCAGAGAGGGGAGGAUGAGAGAAUUUUCCAUAUAACUCCUUUUCCUUAAGAAAAAGAAGCAAAAAUGCCUCAAGCAGUGCCAUCUGACUUUAUGGUUUUUAACAUUAUAUAGUUACAUUUUUGUAAACGCAUUAAGAUUAACUCUUCCUGCAACCCAAGGUGGAUACUUGGAUGUUUGAUUUUUAUUUUUUUAUUUUAUUUAUUUAUUUUUUGGGGCAGAGUCUCGCUCUGUUGCCCAGGCUAGAGUGACUGGCAUGAUCUCUGCUCACUGCAGUCUCUCCCACCCGGGUUCAAGUGAUUCUCCUGCCUCAGCCUCCCGAGUAGCUGGGAUUGCAGGCGUGUACCACCAUGCUCAGCCUGAUUUCUUACUCUAGAUAUUAGGUAUAAUGUUAGGCUGAAAAGGCUGGGACUCAGUUACUUUCCCCAGUUGGGACUGAACUUUCUCAUCAGAGAAUGGGCCUCAGAAGCAAUGUUCCCAAACUUGUGGUUGGGUCAUCGUGGAAAAGAAACCUCAAACAAGAAAAAUAAUUACAAUAAG
rnacentral:lncRNA from 1 species